GGCAACGGCGGGCGAGCAGCGGGUGGAAAACGGAGGGGGGAAGGGGUGGCCGGAACCACGGAGCGUAAAGCGCGCGCAGUCGGUUUCUCACGUCCGGGGUGAAAACCCAGAGCGCAACGCGGGGACGGCCUUGGAGACGGGGAAACUGGAGGAUCGGAGAGGCAAGGGGAAUUCCACGUGUAGCGGUGAAAUGCGUAGAGAUGUGGAGGAACACCUGUGGCGAAGGCGCCUUGCUGGCCGAUUUCUGACGCUGAGGCGCGAAAGCGUGGGGAGCAAACAGGAUUAGAUACCCUUGUAGUC
rnacentral:rRNA from 1 species